rnacentral:tRNA from 1 species
UCCGAGAUGGUCUAACGGUCAUGAUUUCCGCUUGUCACGCGGGAGACCGGGGUUCGACUCCCCGUUUCGGAG